AGUGAACGCUGGCGGUAGGCCUAACACAUGCAAGUCGAACGGCAGCACAGUAAGAGCUUGCUCUUACGGGUGGCGAGUGGCGGACGGGUGAGGAAUACAUCGGAAUCUACUUUUUCGUGGGGGAUAACGUAGGGAAACUUACGCUAAUACCGCAUACGAACUACGGGUGAAAGCAGGGGAUCUUCGGACCUUGCGCGAUUGAAUGAGCCGAUGUCGGAUUAGCUAGUUGGCGGGGUAAAGGCCCACCAAGGCGACGAUCCGUAGCUGGUCUGAGAGGAUGAUCAGCCACACUGGGACUGAGACACGGUCCAGACUCCUACGGGAGGCAGCAGUGGGGAAUAUUGGACAAUGGGCGCAAGCCUGAUCCAGCCAUACCGCGUGGGUGAAGAAGGCCUUCGGGUUGUAAAGCCCUUUUGUUGGGAAAGAAAAGCAGCAGGUUAAUACCCCGCUGUUCUGACGGUACCCAAAGAAUAAGCACCGGCUAACUUCGUG
rnacentral:rRNA from 1 species